CCCUUAGAUGUUCUGGGCGGCCCGCGCACUACAAUGGCGUGUGCAGCGAGUGCCGAAGUAGAGUUUUCCGAGGUAUUCUUGCAAUGCUCGUUUUGAUGGGGAUAGACCCUCGCAACUGUUGGUUUUGAACGAGGAAUUCCUUGUAAGCAUGGUUUAUCAUCCGACGCUGAAUGCGUCCCUGCCCUUUGUACACGCCGCCCGUCGCUCCUACCGAUGAGUCGUCCGGUGAAGUUCGUAGACCUCGUGAUCGCGGAUCACUGGGGGAAGCAAAAUGAACCUCGCGGUUUAGAGGAAGGAGAAGUCGUAACA
rnacentral:rRNA from 1 species